rnacentral:rRNA from 1 species
AAUAUUGGACAAUGGGCGCAAGCCUGAUCCAGCAAUGCCGCGUGUGUGAAGAAGGUCUUCGGAUUGUAAAGCACUUUCGGCGGGGACGAUGAUGACGGUACCCGCAGAAGAAGCCCCGGCUAACUUCGUGCCAGCAGCCGCGGUAAUACGAAGGGGGCUAGCGUUGCUCGGAAUGACUGGGCGUAAAGGGCGCGUAGGCGGGCGGUACAGUCAGAUGUGAAAUUCCUGGGCUCAACCUGGGGGCUGCAUUUGAUACGUGCUGUCUUGAGUUCGGAAGAGGGUCGUGGAAUUCCCAGUGUAGAGGUGAAAUUCGUAGAUAUUGGGAAGAACACCGGUGGCGAAGGCGGCGACCUGGUCCGAUACUGACGCUGAGGCGCGAAAGCGUGGGGAGCAA